rnacentral:rRNA from 1 species
AUGGCGAGGGCGAUCGUGCUUGCGGCCACCAUGGCCGCGGCCGUGCUGUUCAUGCUGCUGGCCGCUGCGCCAGCGCCGGCGAGCGCCAUGGACUUCGGCGACCACGACCUGGCGUCGGAGGACUCCCUGUGGGCGCUGUACGAGCGCUGGCGGGAGCGGCACACGGUGGCGCGCGACCUCGGCGAGAAGGCCCGCCGCUUCAACGUCUUCAGGGAGAACGUCCGCCUCAUCCACGAGUUCAACCGCGGCGACGCCCCCUACAAGCUCCGCCUCAACCGCUUCGGCGACAUGACCGCCGACGAGUUCCGCCGCGCCUACGCCUCCUCCCGCGUCUCUCACCACCGCAUGUUCAGCCGUAAGGAGGGUGGCGGCGGCUUCAUGCACGGGAGCGCUCGGGACGUGCCGCCUUCGGUGGACUGGCGGCAGAAGGGAGCGGUGACCGCCGUCAAGGACCAGGGGCAGUGCGGCAGCUGCUGGGCUUUCUCGACGAUCGCGGCCGUGGAGGGCGUCAACGCGAUCCGCACCAAGAACCUCACGUCUCUGUCUGAGCAGCAGCUCGUGGACUGCGACACGAAGUCCAACGCCGGCUGCAACGGCGGCCUCAUGGACUACGCCUUCCGGUACAUCGCCAAGCACGGCGGGGUGGCCGCCGAGGACGCGUACCCCUACAAGGCCCGGCAGGCCUCCUCCUGCAACAAGAAGCCGUCCGCCGUGGUCACCAUCGACGGGUACGAGGACGUGCCGGCCAACGACGAAGCGGCGCUGAAGAAGGCGGUGGCUGCGCAGCCGGUGGCUGCGCAGCCGGUGGCCGUGGCCAUCGAGGCUAGCGGGUCACACUUCCAGUUCUACUCGGAGGGGGUGUUCGCGGGCAAGUGCGGGACGGAGCUGGACCAUGGCGUGACGGCGGUGGGGUACGGCGUCACCGUGGACGGCACCAAGUACUGGAUCGUGAAGAACUCGUGGGGGGCGGAGUGGGGCGAGAAGGGAUACAUCCGCAUGAAGCGCGAUCUGAAAGACAAGGAGGGUCUCUGCGGCAUCGCCAUGGAGGCGUCCUACCCCGUCAAGACCUCAGCCAACCCGAAGCAUGCCGGUGCCCAUGACGAGCUCUGA